GGAGGUAAUCGGGGCCCGGUGGUCCUCGCGGCCUUCAAAGCCGUCUGCGUCGCGCCGCGCGUGACGGGUGGGUUCGACUCCCAUUUACCUCCGCCA
rnacentral:tRNA from 1 species